AUUGAACGCUGGCGGAAUGCUUUACACAUGCAAGCCGAACGGUAGAGGGGGCAACCCCUCGAGAGUGGCGAACGGGUGAGUAAUAUAUCGGAACGUGCCCAGUCGUGGGGGAUAACGUAGCGAAAGUUACGCUAAUACCGCAUACGAUCUAAGGAUGAAAGCGGGGGAUCGCAAGACCUCGCGCGAUUGGAGCGGCCGAUAGCAGAUUAGGUAGUUGGUGGGGUAAAGGCUCACCAAGCCAACGAUCUGUAGCUGGUCUGAGAGGACGACCAGCCACACUGGAACUGAGACACGGUCCAGACUCCUACGGGAGGCAGCAGUGGGGAAUUUUGGACAAUGGACGCAAGUCUGAUCCAGCCAUUCCGCGUGCAGGAUGAAGGCCCUCGGGUUGUAAACUGCUUUUGUACGGAACGAAAAGGUCUCUCUUAAUACGGGGGACUCAUGACGGUACCGUAAGAAUAAGCACCGGCUAACUACGUGCCAGCAGCCGCCGUAAAAC
rnacentral:rRNA from 1 species